rnacentral:rRNA from 1 species
AUGUCUGCAGUCAGUUCCCCGUCGCCGGCCGACCUGAGAAAACAACAAGAAGAAGAAGAAGAAGUAAAGAAGAGGAUACGACGCGCGCUGUGGAACAUAGGCACGUCGUGGCCCCUCAAGGCCGGGAUCAAGUUCCCGAUCAGCCGCGUCGGGCGGUACCUCAGGCAGGGCCGCUAUGCGCCUCGCGUCGCGGCGCUGGCCCCCGUCUUCCUCGCCGCCGUCCUCGAGUACCUCGUUGCCGAGAUCCUGGAGAUGGCCGGCAACGCGGCCAAAGCCAACAAGAAGAAGCUCAUCACCCCUCGCCACCUGCUUCUCGCCAUCCGCAACGACAACGAGUUCAGCAGGCUGCUCGCCGGCGUCACCAUCGCCCAGGCCGGCGUCGUAUCCUACAUCAACCCCGUGCUGCUCCCCAAGAACAACAAGACCGCGCACAAGGCCGGCAAGUUCAAGUCCUCCACAAGUUAA